rnacentral:sRNA from 1 species
CUCCCCGUGUCUGGUCCCCAGGAUCCGGCGCUAAGAAACAGGGCGAGGACUUAGCGGAUAAUGACGGGGAUGAAGAUGAAGACAUCCGGGACAGUGGUGCUAAACCCGUCAUGGUCUACAUCCACGGAGGCUCUUACAUGGAAGGGACAGGCAACAUGAUUGACGGCAGCGUCCUCGCCAGUUAUGGCAAUGUCAUCGUCAUCACCCUCAACUAUCGGGUUGGAGUGCUAGGUUUCCUGAGUACUGGAGAUCAGGCUGCCAAGGGCAACUAUGGGCUCCUUGACCAGAUCCAGGCCCUCCGCUGGGUGAGCGAGAAUAUUGCCUUCUUCGGGGGAGACCCCCGCCGGAUCACUGUCUUUGGCUCAGGCAUUGGUGCAUCCUGCGUCAGCCUCCUCACGUUGUCACAUCACUCAGAGGGACUUUUCCAGAGAGCCAUCAUCCAAAGUGGCUCUGCUCUGUCCAGCUGGGCUGUGAACUACCAACCAGUGAAGUACACCAGCCUGCUGGCAGACAAAGUGGGCUGUAAUGUGCUGGACACCGUGGAUAUGGUGGACUGUCUUCGGCAAAAGAGUGCCAAGGAGCUGGUAGAGCAGGACAUCCAGCCAGCCCGCUACCACGUGGCCUUUGGCCCUGUGAUUGAUGGUGAUGUCAUUCCUGAUGACCCUGAGAUCCUCAUGGAGCAGGGCGAGUUCCUCAACUAUGACAUCAUGCUAGGUGUCAACCAGGGCGAGGGUCUCAAGUUUGUGGAAGGGGUGGUGGACCCUGAGGAUGGUGUCUCUGGCACUGACUUUGACUAUUCCGUCUCCAAUUUUGUGGACAAUCUGUAUGGCUAUCCUGAGGGUAAGGACACCCUGCGAGAGACCAUCAAGUUCAUGUAUACAGACUGGGCAGACCGUGACAACCCUGAGACCCGCCGUAAAACACUGGUGGCACUCUUCACUGACCACCAGUGGGUGGAGCCCUCAGUGGUGACAGCCGAUCUGCAUGCCCGCUACGGCUCGCCUACCUACUUCUACGCCUUCUAUCAUCACUGCCAGAGCCUCAUGAAGCCUGCUUGGUCAGAUGCAGCUCAUGGGGAUGAAGUACCCUAUGUUUUUGGGGUUCCUAUGGUAGGCCCCACUGACCUUUUCCCCUGCAACUUCUCCAAGAAUGAUGUUAUGCUCAGUGCUGUCGUCAUGACCUAUUGGACCAACUUUGCCAAGACUGGGGAUCCCAACAAGCCGGUCCCCCAGGACACCAAGUUCAUUCACACCAAGGCCAACCGCUUUGAGGAAGUGGCCUGGUCCAAAUACAAUCCCCGAGACCAGCUCUACCUUCACAUCGGGCUGAAACCAAGGGUCCGAGAUCAUUACCGGGCCACUAAGGUGGCCUUUUGGAAACAUCUGGUGCCCCACCUAUACAACCUGCAUGACAUGUUCCACUAUACGUCCACCACCACCAAAGUGCCGCCUCCGGAUACCACCCACAGCUCCCACAUCACCCGCAGGCCCAAUGGCAAGACCUGGAGCACCAAGCGGCCAGCCAUCUCACCUGCCUACAGCAACGAGAACGCCCAGGGGUCCUGGAACGGGGACCAGGAUGCAGGGCCACUACUGGUGGAGAACCCUCGUGACUACUCCACUGAAUUAAGUGUCACCAUCGCCGUGGGGGCCUCCCUCCUCUUCCUUAACGUUCUGGCCUUCGCUGCCCUCUACUACCGUAAGGACAAACGGCGCCAGGAGCCCCUGCGGCAGCCUAGCCCUCAGCGGGGAGCCGGGGCCCCGGAAUUGGGAGCUGCUCCAGAGGAGGAGCUGGCAGCGUUACAACUGGGCCCCACCCACCACGAGUGUGAGGCCGGUCCCCCCCAUGACACACUGCGCCUCACUGCAUUGCCCGACUACACCCUGACCCUGCGGCGCUCCCCGGAUGACAUCCCACUCAUGACCCCCAACACCAUCACUAUGAUCCCCAACUCCCUGGUAGGGCUGCAGACAUUGCACCCCUAUAACACCUUUGCCGCAGGGUUCAACAGUACCGGGCUGCCCCACUCACACUCCACUACCCGGGUAUAGCUCCAACUCAGAGCACAGCCAAUCUCCCGGCUCCCUCCCUCCCAGAUCCAGGAACACAUGCACACACACACACACACACACACGCAGACACACAUACACACACACACACACACACAUAUAUGUAUACGCACGCACCCACACCCUACAGCAGAUCCACCUGCACAAACAUAGACAGAUGUGGACAUGCACCCGCAUGUACAAAAACACAAAUACGGAAGUAAACCUGAACAAACCCUUUAAAUGGGGACACAGAUGAGUCCUCGGUAAACCGAGGACCCAUGAAACAGCAGCUGAAGCCAGCUCCCUGAGUCUGACCACAGACACUCCUGGGGGGCCUGAAAGCAACAGCUGGACACCCCCUUGGUGCUCGCCUUCGGCCUCUCUUGGAACUGCACCACCGACCAACUCCAGACUUGGGAGCUUUAAAGAGCAGGAUAGCUCUUCCUCCCCAGGACUUGGUCUUUUUUCUGGGUCUUGUUUUGUUGAUUUUUCUUUUUUAAUUUUGGAAGAAAUGCUUUUCCAAUCCAUGAGUGCUAAGAGGCUCUGGAAGGGAGGGCUUCAGGCCCGAAGGUCUCUCUGGCUCUAGGAUCCCCAGUGCUCACACAGUUAGACCAAGGAACAGGAUCCCCAGGAAGGAAACAGAUUCAAGCAAGACCAUGGGGUGGAAUGAGAAAGGGGCUAGCAAUGGAUGGGGCUGGAGGGCGGUAGGGGAGAGAUCUCCACCUCUCUCUGUGUCCGUGUGGAGGGCUGCAGAGCCUGCAGGGUGACCUGCUUCCCCAAAGGCCAACAGCGUUGGCCUGGCCAGACCAGGGGACCUUAGAUUUGGUGAAAAACGUACUAUGGAAGCCACAUCACUAUUGGGCCCCCAGGUCUGAUCUGGGUUUUGCCUCUGCCCUUGGGGAAAUGCUACAGAAAUUCGCCCCAUUUUCUUUACAGUCUUUUGUGUCUGUCAUUUCUCUUUCAAAAAGGCGGUGUUUUUUGUUGUUGUUGGCUCUCUUUUUUUUUAAAGAAAAGUUCUUAAAACACUAACGGAAACCCAUGGAGUUUGUCCUUUGUAAAAAUUUUAAACACAGUGUCUUGAUAUAAAAAUAAAAAAUCCAGUUAGCACUCCC